ACCGUGCGAAGGUAGCAUAAUCACUUGUUCUUUAAAUAAGGACUAGUAUGAAUGGCACCACGAAGGUUAUGCUGUCUCCUUUUUCUAAUCAACGAAACUGAUCUGCCCGUGAAGAAGCGGACAUAAAGAUAUAAGACGAGAAGACCCUAUGGAGCUUUAAACUAUUAUGGCACCGGCUUACCCCCUAUAAUGCUUCAGAGCCACAUCAUCUAGUCUAGCCGCAAUGACUAUUAGUUUUAGGUUGGGGUGACCGCGGAGUAAAAAUUAACCUCCACACUGAAGGGAGUGCACCCUGAGCCUAGAGCCACGACUCCCAGCACCAAUAAACUGACACCAAUUGACCCAAUAUAUUGAUCAACGAACCAAGUUACCCUAGGGAUAACAGCGCAAUCCACUUCAAGAGCCCCUAUCGACAAGUGGGUUUACGACCUCGAUGUUGGAUCAGGGUAUCCUAGUGGUGCAGCCGCUGCUAAAGGUUCGUUUGUUCAACGAUUAAAACCCU
rnacentral:rRNA from 1 species